GAUCCUGGCUCAGGAUGAACGCUAGCUACAGGCUUAACACAUGCAAGUCGAGGGGCAGCACGGUCUUAGCUUGCUAAGGCCGAUGGCGACCGGCGCACGGGUGAGUAACACGUAUCCAACCUGCCGUCUACUCUUGGACAGCCUUCUGAAAGGAAGAUUAAUACAAGAUGGCAUCAUGAGUCCGCAUGUUAACAUGAUUAAAGGUAAUUCCGGUAGACGAUGGGGAGUGCG
rnacentral:rRNA from 1 species